UACGUAGGUCCCGAGCGUUGUCCAGAUUUAUUGGGCGUAAAGCGAGCGCAGGUGGUUUAUUAAGUCUGGUGUAAAAGGCAGUGGCUCAACCAUUGUAUGCAUUGGAAACUGGUAGACUUGAGUGCAGGAGAGGAGAGUGGAAUUCCAUGUGUAGCGGUGAAAUGCGUAGAUAUAUGGAGGAACACCGGUGGCGAAAGCGGCUCUCUGGCCUGUAACUGACACUGAGGCUCGAAAGCAUGGGGAGCAAACAGG
rnacentral:rRNA from 1 species